rnacentral:rRNA from 1 species
ACGUAGGGUGCAAGCGUUAAUCGGAAUUACUGGGCGUAAAGUGUGCGCAGGCGGCCGCGCAAGUCGAGUGUGAAAGCCCCGAGCUUAACUUGGGAACUGCGCUCGAAACUACGUGGCUGGAGUGUGGCAGAGGGAGGUGGAAUUCCACGUGUAGCGGUGAAAUGCGUAGAGAUGUGGAGGAACACCGAUGGCGAAGGCAGCCUCCUGGGCCAACACUGACGCUCAUGCACGAAAGCGUGGGGAGCAAACAGGAUUAGAUACCCUGGUAGUCCACGCCUUAAACGAUGACGACUAGUUGUUGGAGGAGUUAAAUCCUUUAGUAACGCAGCUAACGCGUGAAGUCGUCCGCCUGGGGAGUACGGUCGCAAGAUUA